CCUUACCUAAGCUUGACAUCCCAAUGACAUCUCCUUAAUCGGAGAGUUCCCUUCGGGGACAUUGGUGACAGGUGGUGCAUGGUUGUCGUCAGCUCGUGUCGUGGGAUGUUGGGUUAAGUCCCGCAACGAGCGCAACCCUUGUCUUUAGUUGCCAUCAUUAAGUUGGGCACUCUAGAGAGACUGCCAGGGAUAACCUGGAGGAAGGUGGGGAUGACGUCAAAUCAUCAUGCC
rnacentral:rRNA from 1 species